rnacentral:rRNA from 1 species
CUACGGGAGGCUCCAGUGAGGAAUAUUGCACAAUGGGGGGAACCCUGAUGCAGCAACGCCGCGUGGGGGAUGACGCAUUUCGGUGUGUAAACUCCUUUUAUAUGUCAAGAAAAUGACGGUAGCAUAUGAAUAAGCACCGGCUAACUCCGUGCCAGCAGCCGCGGUAGUACGGAGGGUGCAAGCGUUACUCGGAAUCACUGGGCGUAAAGGACGCGUAGGCGGGUUGGAAAGUCAGGUGUGAAAUCCUACAGCUUAACUGUAGAACUGCACUUGAAACUUCUAAUCUAGAGUAUGGGAGGGGGAGAUGGAAUUAGUGGUGUAGGGGUAAAAUCCGUAGAUAUCACUAGGAAUACCUAAAGCGAAGGCGAUCUCCUGGAACAUUACUGACGCUAAGGCGUGAAAGCGUGGGGAGCAAACAGGAUUAGAUACCCCAGUAGUC